rnacentral:tRNA from 1 species
GCGGGAAUAGGCUCAGUUGGUAGAGCACGACCUUGCCAAGGUCGGGGUCGCGAGUUCGAGUCUCGUUUCCCGCUCCA